rnacentral:rRNA from 1 species
GAUGAACGCUGGCGGCGUGCCUAAUACAUGCAAGUCGAGCGAACGGACGAGAAGCUUGCUUCUCUGAUGUUAGCGGCGGACGGGUGAGUAACACGUGGAUAACCUACCUAUAAGACUGGGAUAACUUCGGGAAACCGGAGCUAAUACCGGAUAAUAUUUUGAACCGCAUGGUUCAAAAGUGAAAGACGGUCUUGCUGUCACUUAUAGAUGGAUCCGCGCUGCAUUAGCUAGUUGGUAAGGUAACGGCUUACCAAGGCAACGAUGCAUAGCCGACCUGAGAGGGUGAUCGGCCACACUGGAACUGAGACACGGUCCAGACUCCUACGGGAGGCAGCAGUAGGGAAUCUUCCGCAAUGGGCGAAAGCCUGACGGAGCAACGCCGCGUGAGUGAUGAAGGUCUUCGGAUCGUAAAACUCUGUUAUUAGGGAAGAACAUAUGUGUAAGUAACUGUGCACAUCUUGACGGUACCUAAUCAGAAAGCCACGGCUAACUACGUGCCAGCAGCCGCGGUAAUACGUAGGUGGCAAGCGUUAUCCGGAAUUAUUGGGCGUAAAGCGCGCGUAGGCGGUUUUUUAAGUCUGAUGUGAAAGCCCACGGCUCAACCGUGGAGGGUCAUUGGAAACUGGAAAACUUGAGUGCAGAAGAGGAAAGUGGAAUUCCAUGUGUAGCGGUGAAAUGCGCAGAGAUAUGGAGGAACACCAGUGGCGAAGGCGACUUUCUGGUCUGUAACUGACGCUGAUGUGCGAAAGCGUGGGGAUCAAACAGGAUUAGAUACCCUGGUAGUCCACGCCGUAAACGAUGAGUGCUAAGUGUUAGGGGGUUUCCGCCCCUUAGUGCUGCAGCUAACGCAUUAAGCACUCCGCCUGGGGAGUACGACCGCAAGGUUGAAACUCAAAGGAAUUGACGGGGACCCGCACAAGCGGUGGAGCAUGUGGUUUAAUUCGAAGCAACGCGAAGAACCUUACCAAAUCUUGACAUCCUUUGACAACUCUAGAGAUAGAGCUUUCCCCUUCGAGGGACAAAGUGACAGGUGGUGCAUGGUUGUCGUCAGCUCGUGUCGUGAGAUGUUGGGUUAAGUCCCGCAACGAGCGCAACCCUUAAGCUUAGUUGCCAUCAUUAAGUUGGGCACUCUAAGUUGACUGCCGGUGACAAACCGGAGGAAGGUGGGGAUGACGUCAAAUCAUCAUGCCCCUUAUGAUUUGGGCUACACACGUGCUACAAUGGACAAUACAAAGGGCAGCGAAACCGCGAGGUCAAGCAAAUCCCAUAAAGUUGUUCUCAGUUCGGAUUGUAGUCUGCAACUCGACUACAUGAAGCUGGAAUCGCUAGUAAUCGUAGAUCAGCAUGCUACGGUGAAUACGUUCCCGGGUCU